rnacentral:lncRNA from 1 species
GUCAGGAGAUCGAGACCAUCCUGGCCAACACGGUGAAACCCUGUCUCUACUAAAAAUACGAACAAACAAAAACAUCUCUGGACCAAUCUGGUCUUAAUUUCUUCUAUCCAGGCCUUUUGGUUCUCCCUGGCUGGCCAUGGGCUUCACUUCUCUGAUGGCUCAAUUCAUUCUUUCCUAAGAUCUUCAAGUUUAUAGUGAAAUUUUCUCUCAAGUGAGCUUUUUUCCUGCUUAUUCCAAGGCUGAUUUAAUUAUAACCAUUCUUUAAGUAAAAAAGGACUUAUUUAUUCAAAAAUUCUGAGUACCUUUUUCAUGCUAGGCAGCACUGAGAAUGUCAUGGUGAGUAAAAUGAAUAAAGGCUGUGCCCUUAUAGAGCUUACAUUCUUGUGGGGAAUCAGCAGACUUAAAAUGUUUUAAACUGUCAGAUACUAGUAAAUUCAACAAAGGGGAAAAAAAGCAAGGCAAGUGAAGGUCUGUAUUAUAGAGAAUAAUGGGAGAGAUGGAGAAAAAGGGUUGCAGUAUUUCCAAAGCCUUGAGAAAGGAAAACAGGACCUAUAUGCACUUAUCAACUUAAAAGACUUGAUUCAAUAGUAAGAACUUUUUGGUUUGUUUUUUGUUUUUUGGUUUUUUUUUUUUUUUUUUUUUGGUCAUUUGCUGUAUUUUAAAACCUCGUUCAAACUAGGUGGACAGGAAGUAACUCAUGGGUGAUUAUGGCUUCAAAAGUCUGCUUUUUGUCAUAUUGAUUGAGCAGUGAACAGUUCCUAGUUAAGUACCAUAAGAUGGUGCUGUUAAGGAAGGCAUGUGCCAGAUGCUGGAUUACAUCAGAAUGAGCAAGAAAAAUACAGCAUCUGUCCAGGUGGAACUUACAGUCUGGUGAAUACACACAAAUAGGUAAAUUCUCUUUGCUGUAGGAGCAACACCUAAACCCAGAUUUGAGCUACUGGAAAAGUUGAAAAUUAACAUGCAGCUUGCUUAUUUCUGUUGGACAACACUACUGUAGACCAGCGGGUCUCAAACAGAGCAGAGAGUUUAUGAACACACAGAUUGCUGGGCCCUAAAAAUUUAGUUCCUAGUUAAGUACCUUUAUAUUUUGCUUAGAAAGAUUAUACUGUAUUUGUUAAUGUUUAUUUGAAUUGUGAAGUGUGAAGUAACUUUCUGAUUCAGUAGGUCUGUAUGAGGUCUGAGAGUUUGAAUUUCUGACAGGUUCCCAGGUGGUACUGGAUGCUGCUGAUCCAAUGACCACAUUUUAAGAACCACUGCUUUAGACCAGGCCCUAAGUAGGGCCAGAUAGUAAGUGUUUUAGGCUUGGGGUAGAGGUGAGGGUGGGGAAGUCGCUUAACCCAGAAUUCUAUAACCAAUGAAAAUUUUCUUUAAGACUGAAGAUGAAAUACAAUUUUCAAAUGAAAGAAAACAAAAAAUUCGUUGUCCAAAGACCUGCACUAAAAGAAGCUUUUCAGAUUGAAAGGAAAUAAUGCAAAUGGAGAUUUAGAUCCUUAUAAAACAAUGGAGGGUGUCAGAAAUGGUAGAUAUAUGGGUCAAUGCAAAAGGCUUUUUAAUUUUUUUCCUGAUUUCUUUUUAAUACAUACAACUUUAUAGUAAGAAUAACAACUGUAUCUUGUUGGGUUUAUAAUGUACAUAGAUGUAAUACAUAUAAACAUGAUAGCAUAAUGAUUAGAAAUGGGAUUUGGGCCUACAGUUGCAAGGUUGUAUUAUAGUACAUAAUAUAUGUUAUUAUUAUAUAUAAAUAUAUAUAUAUAUUUGAGACAGAGUCU